GUGGGGAAUCUUAGACAAUGGGCGCAAGCCUGAUCUAGCCAUGCCGCGUGAGUGAUGAAGGCCCUAGGGUUGUAAAGCUCUUUCAGCUGGGAAGAUAAUGACGGUACCAGCAGAAGAAGCCCCGGCUAACUCCGUGCCAGCAGCCGCGGUAAUACGGAGGGGGCUAGCGUUGUUCGGAAUUACUGGGCGUAAAGCGCGCGUAGGCGGACUGAAAAGUUGGGGGUGAAAUCCCGGGGCUCAACCUCGGAACUGCCUUCAAAACUAUCAGUCUGGAGUUCGAGAGAGGUGAGUGGAAUUCCGAGUGUAGAGGUGAAAUUCGUAGAUAUUAGGAAGAACACCAGUGGCGAAGGCGGCUCACUGGUCCGGUACUGACGCUGAGGUGCGAAAGCGUGGGGAGCAAACAGGAUUAGAUACCCCAGUAGUCC
rnacentral:rRNA from 1 species